GACGAACGCUGGCGGCGUGCUUAACACAUGCAAGUCGAACGGAAAGGCCCUGCUUUUGUGGGGUGCUCGAGUGGCGAACGGGUGAGUAACACGUGAGUAACCUGCCCUUGACUUUGGGAUAACUUCAGGAAACUGGGGCUAAUACCGGAUAGGAGCUCCUGCUGCAUGGUGGGGGUUGGAAAGUUUCGGCGGUUGGGGAUGGACUCGCGGCUUAUCAGCUUGUUGGUGGGGUAGUGGCUUACCAAGGCUUUGACGGGUAGCCGGCCUGAGAGGGUGACCGGCCACAUUGGGACUGAGAUACGGCCCAGACUCCUACGGGAGGCAGCAGUGGGGAAUAUUGCACAAUGGGCGGAAGCCUGAUGCAGCAACGCCGCGUGCGGGAUGACGGCCUUCGGGUUGUAAACCGCUUUCGCCUGUGACGAAGCGUGAGUGACGGUAAUGGGUAAAGAAGCACCGGCUAACUACGUGCCAGCAGCCGCGGUGAUACGUAGGGUGCGAGCGUUGUCCGGAUUUAUUGGGCGUAAAGGGCUCGUAGGUGGUUGAUCGCGUCGGAAGUGUAAUCUUGGGGCUUAACCCCUGAGCGUGCUUUCAAUACGGGUUGACUUGAAGAAAGGUAGGGGAGAAUGGAAUUCCUGGUGGAGCGGUGGAAUGCGCAGAUAUCAGGAGGAACACCAGUGGCGAAGGCGGUUCUCUGGGCCUUUCCUGACGCUGAGGAGCGAAAGCGUGGGGAGCGAACAGGCUUAGAUACCCUGGUAGUCCACGCUGUAAACGGUGGGUACUAGGUGUGGGGUCCAUUCCACGGGUUCCGCGCCGUGGCUAACGCUUUAAGUACCCCGCCUGGGGAGUACGGCCGCAAGGCUAAAACUCAAAGGAAUUGACGGGGCCCCGCACAAGCGGCGGAGCAUGCGGAUUAAUUCGAUGCAACGCGUAGAACCUUACCUGGGUUUGACAUGGAUCGGGAGUGCUCAGAGAUGGGUGUGCCUCUUUUGGGGUCGGUUCACAGGUGGUGCAUGGCUGUCGUCAGCUCGUGUCGUGAGAUGUUGGGUUAAGUCCCGCAACGAGCGCAACCCUUGUUCACUGUUGCCAGCACGUUAUGGUGGGGACUCAGUGGAGACCGCCGGGGUCAACUCGGAGGAAGGUGGGGAUGACGUCAAGUCAUCAUGCCCCUUAUGUCCAGGGCUUCACGCAUGCUACAAUGGCUGGUACAGAGAGUGGCGAGCCUGUGAGGGUGAGCGAAUCUCGGAAAGCCGGUCUCAGUUCGGAUUGGGGUCUGCAACUCGACCUCAUGAAGUCGGAGUCGCUAGUAAUCGCAGAUCAGCAACGCUGCGGUGAAUACGUUCCCGGGGCU
rnacentral:rRNA from 1 species